ACGACCUUACUUGAGCAGGAUCUGUUCUAUAGGCUCGUACUUCUGUAUCCUUGGUUCCUAAGGAGACAGGCUCUCAAACCUGGUUGAUGAGUCUAGACUGUGCGAUCUGAGUGAGAUUGAUGGUCACGAUUCUCUUCGUAGUUUCCGCGCUAUAGAGGAUCGCUAUCCGGUCGGAUUUCGACCUGUCCGGGGUGGUCGCACUGUUGUCUGACAGGCU
rfam:Eutrema salsugineum unplaced genomic scaffold scaffold_8, whole genome shotgun sequence.